AGUCCAUUCUGAAGGAGAUCAGCCCUGGGAUUUCUUUGGAAGGAAUGAUGCUAAAGCUGAAACUCCAGUACUUUAGCCACCUCAUGCGAAGAGUUGACUAUUUGGAAAAGACUCUGAUGCUGGGAGGGAUUGGGGGCAGGAGGAGAAGGGGACGACUGAGGAUGAGAUGGCUGGAUGGCAUCACCGAUUCGAUGGACAUGAGUUUGGAUAAACUCCGGGAGUUGGUGAUGCACAGGGAGGCCUGGCGUGCGGCGAUGCAUGGGGUCACAGAGUUGGACACUACUGAGUGACUGAACUGAACUGACUGAAGUUAAACAACCAUUGUAGCAGAAAGAGGACUGAAAUCCAGCACUCUUUCAAUGAUACCAUGCCGUAUGCAAAGAACCUUUUUCCCCCUUUUUAUGAACUUAGCCAAUAAUGUUGGUUUAUAGUCUCACCACAGCAGUGGCCUUACCACAGCUGUGUAGCCAGCGACGCACUUUUGAUCAUUAAGAGACCCACAGACUAACACAAGUGCCAGUGCUGCUUAGGCUCUGCUCUGAGCAGUUCAGUGGAGCUUGGUAAGCUUUGACCCCUCCAAGGCUCCAGUACAUAAGAUGCUCUUGGAGCAUCUUUCAACACUGCUUGUUUUCAGGUGCUUCCACUGGGAUGGCACUUACAGGCUGGGUGAUCUAAGAGACAGGAACCUCUCUUAAAUGACCAUGGUCCUGUCCCUGAAGCCCUGUGCCCUCCUUCCCGGGCCCUCUACUCAGGGAAUUUCCAUCAUGGCAUGGUAUCACCCCUGGGGAUGCUCUCUCCUCAGGCAGUCCUGCCCCUCUCUGGGCUCUGCAUACAACAUCACUCUUGUGGUUUACUGACCAGUGCAAUCCAGGCCUGUCCCAAACCCACCUCUCCACAUGGGCGGGCCCAACAAGUGGAUAUCAAGUGUAAGGUGGUAAAACUAAGAAACCUCACGGCGGCCAGGACUAAGCCGAGUUCUGCAAUCCACUUUCACCAGAGGGUCUUAACAGGAGCUGGUUUCACCACUGGGGCUUCCCUGGUGGCUCAGAGGUUAAAGCGUCUGCCUGGCAUGCAGAUUCUUUACCACUUGAGUAGUACGUGGAACCAAAAAACCAGGUUGGGGGACCUGGUGGGUUUAAGUGUGGGCAUGGCAGAGGGCCUCACAGUUCCUGUUGGGGCCAAUCUGAAAACAGGCAAUGAUUCAACACAUAGAUUUCCUGGACACAAGGGAGUAGAAUGA
rnacentral:lncRNA from 1 species